rnacentral:rRNA from 1 species
AUGCCUAACACAUGCAAGUCGAACGAGGGUAGCAAUACUCUAGUGGCGGACGGGUGAGGAAUACGUAGGAAUUUGCCCUUAAGUGGGGGAUAACCCGGGGAAACCCGGAUUAAUACCGCAUGAUCUUUUCGAAGCAAAGCCGGGGACCGCAAGGCCUGGCGCUUUUGGAGAAGCCUACGUCGGAUUAGCUAGUUGGUGAGGUAAUGGCUCACCAAGGCUGCGAUCCGUAACUGGUCUGAGAGGAUGAUCAGUCACAUCGGAACUGAGACACGGUCCGAACUCCUACGGGAGGCAGCAGUGGGGAAUAUUGGACAAUGGGCGAAAGCCUGAUCCAGCAAUACCGCGUGUGUGAAGAAGGCCUUCGGGUUGUAAAGCACUUUAGGUCGGAAAGAAAAAACUUGAGUUAAUACCUUAAGUCUUGACGGUACCGACAGAAUAAGCACCGGCUAACUCUGUGCCAGCAGCCGCGGUAAUACAGAGGGUGCAAGCGUUAAUCGGAUUUACUGGGCGUAAAGCGUGCGUAGGUGGCUGUUUAAGUCGGAUGUGAAAGCCCUGGGCUUAACCUGGGAACUGCAUUCGAUACUGGAUAGCUAGAGAUCGGUAGAGGGCAGCGGAAUUCCGGGUGUAGCGGUGAAAUGCGCUAGAUAUCCGGAGGAACACCGAUGGCGAA